CUAUGCUGUGAGACUGGGAUUUGGGGAGUUUGGAGGCUGUUUUGUUCUGAGCCAUUCUAAAGCAAUUUUUGGCGGGUCCAGCAUCGAUAAUCUAUUUUAUACAGAGUUGUUUAUUUGUUUUAAGGGCAUAAGCCAAAUGUGAGGUUAUAGUUCACAAUAAGACGACCAACACAGUUUUAAAUUCCAUGAUUGUAUUGUGUGGGUUUGGUUAGAAGCAGUUUAGUUUAGCACAUCACUGUUCUGAAUGAUUUAGUCACGUAUACAUGCUACCUGUAGUCACACCUGGGUCAAAUCUGUUUGGUCUCUUCGACCAAAAAGGGUCAGAUGCAGAUUGGGACCCCUUCACACUGAACUUAAACCCUUUUGUGCUUUCUAUGACAUUCGCAGUCUAUAAGAAUGUGGUUGGAUUGUUGCACAUUUAGAAAAUCUCCUCAAAUGUGAGGGCAAUCAUGACUGCACUACACUUGUUAUACUCAUCAAAUGUCCCCCACCCCCCCACCACCUGCUAUUUUGUUCAAUCCCCAUGAGCUUUCCUGCAUACUCACUAUAAUUCAAAUGUCAACAACCUUUUCUAAUGAUCAAGUAUGCUUAAGAUCCAAUCCUUUCACAACUUCUUUAAAAUGUAUGAGGAUGCAGCUACAUGAGAUCCUACAGCCUUCAUGUGGAUAAUGUAGUUGGGUUGUACCCGAGGCCAGAGGGUCACUAAGCCAUUAGCCAUGCUAGUGUGCCGUUCUCUCAGAAAUGAUCCACCCAGAAAAUCCUUACACUGCCAGUAUGAUAGACCACCACUCCACCUUUCCUCAGUAUGUAUGCUCACACCCCUUUUUAAGUCAUCAUGCCAUAUCAUAUGUAACGGGGAGGCCACAACGUUCAUAAUACAUACCUGAAGACCCUACAAAACCCAUGUUCUGGCUGAUUUUUACAAUGUGGGAGGGUCUUAAUCCUGUGUUAAGGGGCAUUUAACAAGAGAGUUUUAUUCAACUGAUUUCGUCCGACUAUUGUCUGAACAGGUUCUUAAUGUUUUUAACAGUACUACAAUCAAUGGUUUUAAAGGUGUGGUUCACUCAUUUAAUCAAUACUUUUGAAGUGGUUUCUAGUAGAAAUGAAUGCCUUGUAAAAGAAGAAAAAGAAGAAGAAGAAAAUAUCAUUUCUAUAGCUCCUCUCAAGAUAAAAAUCACGAGUCGCUUCACAAAAACAAAAAAUGUAAAAAUAUAAAAAAUUAUUUAUAAAAUGGUAAAAAUUAUUUUUAAAAUGAGCAAAAAAAAAAAGACAAUUGUGCUACAAAAAUUUAAAGAAAGAGAGAGAGUGAAAAGGAAAGAGGGAGAUCAGUGGAUCCUGAGGAAGGUGGAAUAGGUGGGGAGAGCAGAAUAAAGAGAGAGAGUGGUGAAGAAGGUCAUACAAAAGCCAGCUUGAACAAGUGAGUCUUCAGCUUCUUUUUAAAGGAGACCACUGAGUCCACUGAUCUCAGGCUCAGGGGGAGAGAGUUCCAGAGUCUGGGGGCCACAGCAGCAAAUGAUCUGUCACCUUUGGUCUUUAGCCUGCUGCUGCACAACCAGUAGGCUUUGAUCACUGGACCUCAGGGACCUGCUGGGGGUGUAGGGACUAAGAAGAUCACCAAUGUAAGAUGGUGCUUGUCCAUGUAAGGCCCUAUAGACCAGAACCAGGAUCUUGAAAUGAACCCUGAAGUUGACUAGCAGCCAGUGACGCUAGAGGAGAAGCGGGGUGAUGUGGGUGUGUUUGGAGGACUUGGUCAGAAGCCGAGCACGGCAUUCUGAACCACCUGCAGAUGGUUCAGGGAGGUUCUGCUCAGACACGUGAAAAGAGAGUUACAGUAGUCUAAGCAUGAGGAGAUGAAGGUGUGGAGAACUGUCUCAAGUUCAGAGCGGGACAGAAUGGGACUCAGCUUAGCAAUGUUCUUGAGAUGGAAGAAGGAAGAGCAAACAAGAGAACUGACAUGAGAAUCCAGGGUGAGAGUUGGGUCAAAGGUCACGCCAAGAUUCAUGAUGGAAGGUUUGGUGUGAGAAGCAAGCUGACCGAGAGUCUCUGACUUUGGGAACCAGCUUGUCUGGGGCACAGAUGAGGAUCUCAGUCUUGUCUUUUCCUCCGACGUUUUAUCGUACCGGAUAAAUAUCACUGGAGGUGCCCUGGUUGGAAUUGUCAUUUGGCUCCGGGCCAGGGCACCACUCAGAUAAACAAACAGGGAGGUACGUCCCCGGUGCAUCAUGAGCGAUUG